ACGGGUGACGGAGAAUUAGGG
rnacentral:ncRNA from 2 species